rnacentral:rRNA from 1 species
CAGACCAUCACGUCGAUAGGAGGCAUGUGGACGGGCAGCAAUGCUCGAAGCUAAGCCUUACUAAUCGCUCGAUCGGCUUGAUCU